rnacentral:rRNA from 1 species
AGCGAACGCCGGCGGCAGGCCUAACACAUGCAAGUCGAACGGAUCCUUCGGGAUUAGUGGCGGACGGGUGAGUAACACGUGGGAACGUGCCCUUUGGUUCGGAACAACUCAGGGAAACUUGAGCUAAUACCGGAUGUGCCCUUCGGGGGAAAGAUUUAUCGCCAUUGGAGCGGCCCGCGUCUGAUUAGCUAGUUGGUGGGGUAAAGGCCCACCAAGGCUACGAUCAGUAGCUGGUCUGAGAGGAUGAUCAGCCACAUUGGGACUGAGACACGGCCCAAACUCCUACGGGAGGCAGCAGUGGGGAAUCUUGCGCAAUGGGCGAAAGCCUGACGCAGCCAUGCCGCGUGAAUGAUGAGGGUCUUAGGAUUGUAAAAUUCUUUCACCGGGGACGAUAAUGACGGUACCCGGAGAAGAAGCCCCGGCUAACUUCGUGCCAGCAGCCGCAGUAAAAC